rnacentral:rRNA from 1 species
CUCGUAGGCGGUUUGUCGCGUCUGCUGUGAAAACCCGAGGCUCAACCUCGGGCCUGCAGUGGGUACGGGCAGACUAGAGUGCGGUAGGGGAGAUUGGAAUUCCUGGUGUAGCGGUGGAAUGCGCAGAUAUCAGGAGGAACACCGAUGGCGAAGGCAGAUCUCUGGGCCGUAACUGACGCUGAGGAGCGAAAGCGUGGGAGCGAACA